UACGGGGGGGAGCAAGCGUUGUUCGGAAUUACUGGGCGUAAAGCGUGCGCAGGCGGCUUUGCAAGACAGAUGUGAAAUCCCCGGGCUUAACCUGGGAACUGCAUUUGUGACUGCAAGGCUGGAGUGCGGCAGAGGGGGAUGGAAUUCCGCGUGUAGCAGUGAAAUGCGUAGAUAUGCGGAGGAACACCGAUGGCGAAGGCAAUCCCCUGGGCCUGCACUGACGCUCAUGCACGAAAGCGUGGGGAGCAAACAGG
rnacentral:rRNA from 1 species